rnacentral:lncRNA from 1 species
CACGGAGGCUGGAGUUGGCGGCGGUGGCUGCUGAUUUUUUGCUUAGGGUUUUUUUGUUUUUUUUUUGUUUUUUUUGUGGGCUAGGGUUUGUUAUUGGGUAUUGAGUUUGGGCUAGGUUAAUUGAGUUUCUGAUUGGGCUGCUAUUUGGACUUUUAAUUUGGAUUUAUUUAUUUCAUUUGUUAACUGGGCCGGUAAAAUGGGUAUAACAGUUGCCCCUCUUUGCUCGUUGUCGUGUAACGGGAACGGAGCAAAGACCCUAGAAAUGACCAAUUUUGUCCGGUAGAGCUUGGACCUUGGUGCUUCUAUUCUUCAAGUAGCCUC